rnacentral:rRNA from 1 species
UACGGAGGGUGCAAGCGUUUGUCCGGAAUCACUGGGCGUAAAGGGCGCGUAGGCGGCUCAUGAAGGCUGUGGUGAAAGUCCGGGCUCAACCUCGGAUCGGCCGUGGCGACUCGUGGGCUGGAGCACUGUAGAGGCGGGUGGAAUUCCGGGUGUAGCGGUGGAAUGCGUAGAGAUCCGGAAGAACACCAGUGGCGAAGGCGGCCCGCUGGGCAGUGGCUGACGCUGGAGGCGACGGACAGCGUGGGGAGCAAACAGG